GACGAACGCUGGCGGCGUGCCUAAUACAUGCAAGUAGAACGCUGAAGAGAGGAGCUUGCUCUUCUUGGAUGAGUUGCGAACGGGUGAGUAACGCGUAGGUAACCUGCCUUGUAGCGGGGGAUAACUAUUGGAAACGAUAGCUAAUACCGCAUAACAAUGGAUGACACAUGUCAUUUAUUUGAAAGGGGCAAUUGCUCCACUACAAGAUGGACCUGCGUUGUAUUAGCUAGUAGGUGAGGUAACGGCUCACCUAGGCGACGAUACAUAGCCGACCUGAGAGGGUGAUCGGCCACACUGGGACUGAGACACGGCCCAGACUCCUACGGGAGGCAGCAGUAGGGAAUCUUCGGCAAUGGGGGCAACCCUGACCGAGCAACGCCGCGUGAGUGAAGAAGGUUUUCGGUUCGUAAAGCUCUGUUGUAAGUCAAGAACGAGUGUGAGAGUGGAAAGUUCACACUGUGACGGUAGCUUACCAGAAAGGGACGGCUAACUACGUG
rnacentral:rRNA from 1 species